UAUGAGCUUCCUUCACAUGGAAGUAGUUGACGUCAUCUUUAUGUAAGAAGGUCGGUGAGUUGAUAUGACCUUGCCGCUCAAUUGAAUUCAGGAUAAGGAGGUGACAGUAACACGUGGCGUUCUGGCAUUGGCUGAGUCUCACUACCGGCCGGAGGUAAUCAUUCUAGCAUGGGAAGUUUCACCGAAGAGACUUAUAAAUAGGUGAACUCCUGCCAUUUUUGGAGUUGUUUUACCUUGUAUUCAGUUAAGAAAGAAUUGAGCAAAUCUCAAAGAUUUUUAGAGAUUCAUCACGAGCUUGAAUUUGACAAGAAAUUGCAAGGAAGUGCAAGGAAAUUCUCGGUUAAGGAGUUAGGCGAGGAAACUAAAUGAUUGAAGCGAGGAACAUCGUCCAGCUUUUAUCUUGUCGUCUUGACCACCUAAUGUGACAUACAUCAAUCGCAACAUCUUGGUAGUAGCCUCUAUCAACUCACAUAGCAUGUAGAAUCUAGUCGAGGAGAGUCAAACUAUUAUUUAGAGACUUGUAUAUAUUUUCAGUUGAAGAAACUUUGUGCUUGUGUUAAAUGUACUCUUUUAUCCAUCAUCAAUGAAGUAGCUGUGUUUUUCAAA